rnacentral:rRNA from 1 species
AGUGAACGCUGGCGGUAGGCCUAACACAUGCAAGUCGAACGGCAGCACAGUAAGAGCUUGCUCUUACGGGUGGCGAGUGGCGGACGGGUGAGGAAUACAUCGGAAUCUACUUUUUCGUGGGGGAUAACGUAGGGAAACUUACGCUAAUACCGCAUACGACCUACGGGUGAAAGCAGGGGAUCUUCGGACCUUGCGCGAUUGAAUGAGCCGAUGUCGGAUUGGCUAGUUGGCGGGGUAAAGGCCCACCAAGGCGACGAUCCGUAGCUGGUCUGAGAGGAUGGUCAGCCACACUGGAACUGAGACACGGUCCAGACUCCUACGGGAGGCAGCAGUGGGGAAUAUUGGACAAUGGGCGCAAGCCUGAUCCAGCCAUACCGCGUGGGUGAAGAAGGCCUUCGGGUUGUAAAGCCCUUUUGUUGGGAAAGAAAAGCAGCAGGUUAAUACCCCGCUGUUCUGACGGUACCCAAAGAAUAAGCACCGGCUAACUUCGUG